rnacentral:rRNA from 4 species
CAUUUGUCUUUUAAUUGAAGACUUGUAUGAAUGGUUGAACGAGAAAAUAACUGUCUCUUUAAAAAAUCUUGAAUUUUACUUUUAAGUGAAAAGGCUUAAAUAAUUUUAAGGGACGAUAAGACCCUAUAAAUCUUUAUAUUAUUUUCUUUAACUUUCAAAUUAUAUAUUAAAAGAAAAACAAAGAAAAAAUAUUCUAUUGGGGAGAUAAAAAUAUAAUUUUUAACUGUUUUAAACAUAAAACAAUAAUUUUUGAUUUAUUAAAAAAUGAUCCUUUUUAAAGAUUUUAAGAUUAAGUUACUUUAGGGAUAACAGCGUAAUUUUUUUUGAGAGUUCUUAUCGAAAAAAAAGUUUGCGACCUCGAUGUUGAAUUAAAAUAUCCUUAUAAGUGUAGAAGCUAUAAAGGAAA